GACGAACGCUGGUGGCGUGCCUAAUACAUGCAAGUAGAGCGCUGAAGGAGGAGCUUGCUUCUCUGGAUGAGUUGCGAACGGGUGAGUAACGCGUAGGUAACCUGCCUGGUAGCGGGGGAUAACUAUUGGAAACGAUAGCUAAUACCGCAUAAGAGUAGAUGUUGCAUGACAUUUGCUUAAAAGGUGCAAUUGCAUCACUACCAGAUGGACCUGCGUUGUAUUAGCUAGUUGGUGGGGUAACGGCUCACCAAGGCGACGAUACAUAGCCGACCUGAGAGGGUGAUCGGCCACACUGGGACUGAGACACGGCCCAGACUCCUACGGGAGGCAGCAGUAGGGAAUCUUCGGCAAUGGACGGAAGUCUGACCGAGCAACGCCGCGUGAGUGAAGAAGGUUUUCGGAUCGUAAAGCUCUGUUGUAAGAGAAGAACGAGUGUGAGAGUGGAAAGUUCACACUGUGACGGUAUCUUACCAGAAAGGGACGGCUAACUACGUG
rnacentral:rRNA from 1 species